AUUGAACGCUGGCGGCAGGCCUAACACAUGCAAGUCGAACGAGUGGCGGACGGGUGAGUAAUGUCUGGGAAACUGCCUGAUGGAGGGGGAUAACUACUGGAAACGGUAGCUAAUACCGCAUACCAUCGGAUGUGCCCAGAUGGGAUUAGCUAGUAGGUGGGUUAACGGCUCACCUAGGCGACGAGCCCUAGCUGGUCUGAGAGGAUGACCAGCAAAAAGGGAAAGGAGACAGGGUCCAGACUGCUAAGGGAGGAAGCAGUGGGGAAUAUUGAACAAGGGGCGCAAGCCUGAUGCAGCCAUGCCGGGUGUAGGAAGAAGGCAUUCGGGGUGUAAAGUACGUUCAGCGGGGAGGCGUUACCCGCAGAAGAAGCACCGGCUAACUCCGUGCCAGCAGCCGCGGUAAUAC
rnacentral:rRNA from 1 species